rfam:Myotis lucifugus cont2.18250, whole genome shotgun sequence.
UGGACGGAGUUGUCAUGUGUCUGCCUGUCUACACUUGCUGUGCAGAACAUCCGCUCACCUGUACAGCAGGCACAACCCAGCCUGAAUGACAACCAGCCA